rnacentral:lncRNA from 1 species
UCCUUCAAUUCCUAAACUCUUCCACUAAUUAACCUCUUUCCUAAUCUUCACACUACCUUCCCCGUUCAGCCACCGUCUUCCAAAUUUUUUCACCUCACUAAUUAACAAUUGGUGUGGUGAGUAUGGACAAACAUUUCGAACCCAAGUGUCAGGGAUCCUCUUAGCAUCGAGUUUGAUCCCACCCACGACCAAGUUAUAGACCCCACUAGUCGUAAUAGAAGAGUAAAUAUAGAUCAAACCAGAAAAACUCAAAACCCAGACCCCAUACAUGACAACCAGAACACAACCCCACAAAAUCAAACAAACCCUCAAAAUUAAAAUCAGCAAAAUCAUACCAAAAAAACCCAUACCAAUAAUUUUACCACUACCCCCAUGAUAUUUUAACCCACAAAAUCAGCACCAUGCCGGACCAUCACCUACUGAUCAGGGAUCCCAA